rnacentral:tRNA from 1 species
GGUCUUAUGGGGUAGCGGUUAGCCCCCAAGAUUCUGAUUCUUGUGACCCCGGUUCGAAUCCGGGUAAGACCU